ensembl:lncRNA
CGCGUCUGUCCCGCGGAAUGCGAGGAGCGCGGGGGACGGGGGGCGCUUAAUCGUGGAAGGAAGCGAGGCGGGAGAGGCGCUGAGCCGCAGUCACCGCCAUCUCACCGGUGCCUGAGUGUUUCGAUACGUGUCAGUUCAGUGAGUGGGAAAACGCCGGUCUUGGUCAGCGUCUUCAUCAAUGACCUGGAAUAAGGGGUCUGUGACCACAGCCUUCCCAAGCACAGGCUGCUAAAGAGCUCUCACUUGGACGAGGGAAAUUAUCCUGCUGGAAAGUCUUAUUCGGUCAGUUCAGCAUAAAACUCCCUGGUACCAAGAAGAAAGAAAAUCCUCUUGCCUUGGAGAAACGUGGGACUCACCAGCACUGCUCUGGGCUGCAGCUCUGUGUUUGGGCACGUGCUCUGAGAAAUCUCUCUUUGGGACAACCGCAGAAGAGAAAUGGCAAAGGCUUCAGAAAUAACGACCAGGGACUGGCGCUGGCCCCGUGUGGUGCCUCCACAGGAGGGAAAGAACAAAACAGUACCUGAAACCCACUGACUUUAGAGACUUCCAUCUGAGGACUGCCCCUGGAGAAAGAAGACAG